rnacentral:rRNA from 1 species
AGGACGAACGCUGGACGGCAUGGCCUAACACAUGCAAGUCGAACGGGGGUAGCAAUACCCUAGUGGCGAACGGGUGAGUAACACAUAAGCAAUCUGCCCUUACACAGGGGGAUAACAGCGGGAAACUGCUGCUAAUACCGCAUAAGACCACGGUACCGCAUGGUACAGGGGUAAAAACGAAUCAGUGGUGAAGGAUGAGCUUAUGUCCCAUUAGCUAGUUGGUGAGAUAACAGCCCACCAAGGCGACGAUGGGUAGCCGACCUGAGAGGGUGAUCGGCCACACUGGAACUGAGACACGGUCCAGACUCCUACGGGAGGCAGCAGUGGGGAAUAUUGGGCAAUGGAGGAAAAACCUCUUACCCAGCAAUGCCGCGUGAGUGAAGAAGGUCUUCGGAUUGUAAAGCUCUUUGAUUGGGGACGAAGAAAGUGACGGUACCCAAAGAACAAGCCCCGGCUAACUACGUGCCAGCAGCCGC